UACGUAGGGGGCAAGCGUUGUCCGGAAUCAUUGGGCGUAAAGCGCGUGUAGGCGGCUUGAUAAGUCUGCUCUGAAAGCCCGGGGCUCAACCCUGGGAGGCGGGUGGAUACUGUCGAGCUCGAGUCCGGAAGAGGCGAGUGGAAUUCCUGGUGUAGCGGUGAAAUGCGCAGAUAUCAGGAGGAACACCAAUGGCGAAGGCAGCUCGCUGGGACGGUACUGACGCUGAGGCGCGAAAGCCAGGGGAGCGAACGGG
rnacentral:rRNA from 1 species